rnacentral:rRNA from 1 species
CCUACGGGUGGCAGCAGUGGGGAAUAUUGGACAAUGGGCGAAAGUCUGAUCCAGCCAUGCCGCGUGUGUGAAGAAGGCCUUCGGGUUGUAAAGCACUUUCAGUGGGGAAGAAAGCCUUGGGGCUAAUACCCUCGAGGAAGGACAUCACCCACAGAAGAAGCACCGGCUAACUCCGUGCCAGCAGCCGCGGUAAUACGGAGGGUGCGAGCGUUAAUCGGAAUUACUGGGCGUAAAGCGCGCGUAGGCGGUCUGAUAAGCCGGUUGUGAAAGCCCCGGGCUCAACCUGGGAACGGCAUCCGGAACUGUCAGGCUAGAGUGCAGGAGAGGAAGGUAGAAUUCCCGGUGUAGCGGUGAAAUGCGUAGAGAUCGGGAGGAAUACCAGUGGCGAAGGCGGCCUUCUGGACUGACACUGACGCUGAGGUGCGAAAGCGUGGGUAGCAAACAGGAUUAGAUACCCCGGUAGUC